rnacentral:rRNA from 1 species
UACGAAGGGGGGCUAGCGUUGCUCGGAAUCACUGGGCGUAAAGGGUGCGUAGGCGGGUCUUUAAGUCAGGGGUGAAAUCCUGGAGCUCAACUCCAGAACUGCCUUUGAUACUGAGGAUCUUGAGUUCGGGAGAGGUGAGUGGAACUGCGAGUGUAGAGGUGAAAUCGUAGAUAUUCGCAAGAACACCAGUGGCGAAGGCGCUCACUGGCCCGAUACUGACGCUGAGGCACGAAAGC